CGACACUGAGGCACUGGCUGGUGCGGCCGUCACUGCCGCUUCCCCGGGUCUGGAUGGGGGCGCUCGCGGCGGCAGCGGGGGCGGUGGCCCCAGCGGGAAAUCCGGAAAGGCGGCGGGGUUGGCACCGGCCACCAGCAGGUGCCGAGUGCGGGCUGCCAAUAAGGCGUGAUUGAGAGGCCGGAUGGGCACGUGGAUGAAAUCCAUCGUCGUGGUGGCCAGCGGGGAGCGCCCAGGCGCCAUGGGCGCGUCCUGCUCCACCAGGGCGACCCUGGGCGCUGAGAACCGGGAAUCUUCCUUGGGGACCAGAGCGACGCCUCCUGCGGCCGCCCCCGGCGGGACAGCCGCGGCUCCUCCUCCAGCCGCCGCGCCACCCAGAGCCCGAGGAUUGCCCUUCAGAAGCGGACCCGCAGAGUCCUCGGACUCGGAGCCAUCCUCCUCCUCAACCUCCACCGCAGUGGGCUGCGGAGACGGCUUCACUGGGACCCCGGACCAAUGAGGGCUCCCAGAGGCCGGGAGCAGCAGCUGCCGGGAUGGUGACAGGCCCCGGGGCAGCACCUUAUGGGCAGCUGCCGUCCCGGAGCUGUCUCCAGCCUUGCCCCCGGACCGGCUCAUGAGCGGAGACAACACUCUCUGGGUGGCAGGGGCAGCCGGUGGAUCUUCAGGAAGUUCGGGGCCAAACAGGCACCAAGAGCUGGUGACCUCGCAGGCGGGAGGGCUGGAUUGGCUCUGCCCGGGACCUGAUGGCGCCAACAGAGUGUCCAAGACACUGUCCAGCAGUCCGCUGUCCUUUUCUGGAGGUCUAGAACUGCUGCCUCCAGUACCCCUUGUAGCUUCAGCUCUGGAAUAUGCGCCCUCCACGUCCGUCAGCGACUGCUGGUCCUGCGUCUUUUCGUCUAGCGGGUCCUGUCCCUGGCAGGGCCGAGGGAAGAGUAACCCGUCCAGGGAGAUAGGUAUGGCCGGAACUUCAGGCAAGGUGUCCGAGGUCUGGCUCCCUUGGAACGGGCCUGCGGCUGGGCGACACAGCAGUGGAGAUCCGACCUCGGGGGAGGGCGGGCCGCCCGCCACGUGGGGAGCCCGGGGACCCUUUGCCUUCAGCUCAGUCAUGACGACCUGGACUCUCUUUUUCUCCUCCCCCGUCUCCAGGGAGGAGGGAAAAGGGAAGGAGGAGGGGGUUUCGGGAAUAUAGGGGCAGAGGGAGGAGAAAGUGGGUGUUGAAUGUGGCUGGACCGGAGGGAUCUCCACCUCCUGGGUCGGGGGGGCGCGGGAGGGCGGCGCUGGUCAGCUCCUGCCCUUGGCCUCCAUCCUGUUGUCAGGGGAACGGUGGCUGUCGUUUGUCCCAGAGAGCGGCAAGUGGGGAGCGCAAGAAAAAGUAGUUAUUGUAGGGAUCUCGUCUCCUAACUCGGAGAGUUCUCCAAGAGAGUUCUCCGACUUCUAUCCGAGGACUGGAGACGCAGAGUACUCACAAGUCCGGCACUUGAGUGACUGCGGCUGCGACGGCAAUUCAGUGACACGCAACUCCUUUAUCUCCCGACUUUUUCUCUGGCAUCAAACUCGUGCAUGCUGUGAAGCUCUCAAUCCCUCGCUGAGUUCCACUGCCCCUCUCACUAAAACCCUGGGGCUAGUUGGACCUCUCGGUACAGCCCAUUCCCAGGAAGGGUCGUGCUUCUGCUGGCUCCCUACUUCGGGCGACAGUCAUCCCCGAAGAUCUCAGUUCCCAGCAGUGCGGGAGCACUAGCCGCCUCGGGUUGUAGAUUUCACUCAAAUGACAAGUGAAGCUAGUUCGCAUUGAGAAUGCUACCCACACGCGCAAAUACAACAAGGCUUACCCCGAUUAGUGACAGCUGUGGACUGGCCAGACAGCUUUCUAACAACGCCUCCUCCUCUAGGGAGGCCCCGCCCAAAGCCCCUCCCUACCCCAAUUAGGGUAGGAUCUGAAACUCUGGAAUUGGCAUUUCCACCCAUUAUUCUGAAUGCUACUCUCAAUAGCAGGUUCUUUGGGAUGGAACCUCAUAGGCAUAUUCCAUUUUGUUUUGAAAAUUAAGAAUUAUGCCCUAUCUAAUUGGAAAAACGAAUAGAUUCUAUCAGAAGUGGAAUUUUUGUCACCAUUUUAAGAUUUCAGGUUUGUAAAGAUUUAACACAGGAAGACAUUUGACUACAUUAUCUUUUAAAAUAAUAAAUGUAUCAAAGAUGAUUCUAAAUACUUUAAGAGAUUUUCUCCCUUAUGCGUUCCAUAAAAGUGAAUGCUUUCAAGUUUCUCCUGCUGCAACCAACAUGUCUUGCUCCUCUGGAGUAAUCCUCAGCGUGACAAAGAAAUUUGGGAGUGGGAGAUGGUCACACCUGUGUACCUAUGAUGGAAGUUUGGAUGUUGUGUGCCAUACUUUGAUUUGUCCUAAAGAAUGUGUUCCAAUUUUUAGUAAAUAGCACUUUAAGGAAAGUUUCCUUUAGCUCCAGCUUAUACCCUGUGCUACAUCAUAAGAUCCUCAGUAGAGAUGUUGAACAGUACUUUUUUCCCUAAAUAUUCUUAGUCUGAAAAGUAAUUAUCUUUGAACUCAUAAAAAUGAAUCCCCUCUAAAUUCAUGAAGUCAGUAGAGAAAGGUAAGAGUAUUGCAAUAUGUAUUUUAGAUAAACAGUCAUAAACUAUAUUUGACCCAAGACCAUUGGGUAUUUUAACAUCAUCUUAAAUAUACCUUGUUCAAAACAGAGUGAAUGAUUUGCAGAUUUUCUUAUAGGGCCUCAAGGUCUAGCUAUGCUAAUGAUUCAUAGUUUAUCUCAACCAUGUAUAGAAAAUACAGAAGACUCCAGGAGGUGGGGGAGCCACUAGAGGUGAGCAGCCUGGACCCCUCGAUCACCUGGGGAGGGGCUACAUGAGUGAGAAACAAACCUUUAUCAUGUUAGAUCACUAGGAUUUGGAGUUGAUUGUUCUAGCAAGUGGUUUACUCUGAUUAAUUUAGAUAUGUGGGAGUUAGGCAGAUAGAGGAAAGGUAAAGAGAAUUCCAGGAAGCAGGUAUAGUAUGUUCACAGGGCAUCUGCAAGGGGACCAUUUUGAAUAAAGCAGGAGCAAGUGUGGGCACAGAAGUAUAUGAGACUAGAGAAGUAAACUAAUUUAUUAGUAUCAUUAUUGUUGUUUUCAGGCUUCUUUUUCCAGCCUAUCUUAAAACAGUUACCGUGCUUUAUUGAGGUGUAAUUCCAAUAUCAUAUGACUCACUCAAAGUAUCAAUCAUUGAUUUUUCAUGUACUCAGAGUUGUGCAACCAUCACCCACUAUUAAUUUUGUAACAUUAGUAUAACUCUAAAAUUUCAAUAUGCACUAGCAGUUACUCUACAUUUCUGCCUAAACCUCCCAGCUGCCACUAAUAUGCUUUUUGUACUUGUGAUUUGGCUAUUUUGGAUCAAAGUUCAUCCAUGUUCCACAUGAAUCAGUACCUCUUCACUCUUUUUAUUGACAAAUAAUAUUUCAUUGUAUGGAUAAACCACAUUUUAUUUAUCCAUCUCCAUCAAUUGUUGGACAUUUGGGUUGUUUACACCUUUUGGCUACCAUGAAAAAUCCUGCUAAUGAAUAUUCAUGUGCAAGUUUUUAUGCAGCAUGUAUUUUCCUUUCUCCAGGUAUAUACGUAGGUGUGUAAUUCCUGGGUCAUAUGGUAACUCUAGGUUUAGUCUUUGGAGGAACUGCCAGACUAUGGUUCAAAUGAUUGUACAUCUUACAUUUCCACCAGCAGUGUAUAAGGGUCCUAGUUUCUUCACAUCUUUGACAACACUUCUUAUCUGUCUUUUUUGUUAUAGCCCUCCAAGUGUGGGAAAUGGUAUCUCACUGAUUUAUUUGUAUUUUCCUGAUGGCUAAUGCCACACAAUGUAUAGAAUUUGUAAAAUCAGGACAGCAUUGCCAGGUAGUCUUCUAAGCCCUUUACCUGUGUUAACUGUAAUCCUUCAGCAGUCUCACAAAAUAGGUACUGUUAUCCCAAUAUCAUAGCUGGGGAAACUGAGGCACAAGGUUACCCGGUAUUACAAAGUUAAGUACUGUAACCCAAACCCAAGACUUCAAAUGACUUCUUAAGAGUGUGAUUUUAAAUGUCAGAUGCCAUGUAAUUUGGUUUCGCGGUCGCUGCUGUAAAAUUGGCACUUGGCUUCAUUUUAAAUCUGACAAACUGUAUUUGGCUUGAUUUUGGUUGGUUAUAAUAAUUCCCUUGUCAGAAUGUCUCGGGAGGUUGUUUCCAAAAGAUUGAAAAUCUUGACGUGGGAAGACAAUAAUAAAGAUGUCCAACAUGUCCUAAAUCACCAUUAUUCCAUAAAUUUUGAUGCUGAGUGAUUAGCAUUUUUGGCACAGGAACUUCCCAAAUGUAUGAAUUGUUGAAUGAAAUAAAAUUCACUGAUUAAAUUCAGGUGUGAUGGGCCUAACUUCAAAUAUUCCUGAAGACUGUUUUUGGAGAAGAGGAUUUAAAUGUGGAAGUUAUUUUUUCUAUAGUUUGGAAAAAAACCACGUUAUCAAGCUAUAGUUGUCAUAUAAUAAACUGCAUAUAUUUAAAUUGUA